CUCUUGCUUUACAGUAACUCUCCUCCUGGGGAAAAGGCUUUUCACGGAGCAGGCUCGGAGCCUACGGGGCUGGCCUCGGACUGGAUGGGGAGGGUGCUCAACUUGCUGGAGUCAUCUCUGCUAUGGCUUUAUUUGCCAACAACAGAGAACUUGCUCUGCAGCAGCCCCAGGCUCUCUGGGGACCCCACAGGCUAUGCAGAUCCCCCACCCCAGAACCACAGAAGGAGACAGAGCAGAAGCACACCCCGUCUUCCAGGCCCAGGACAGCUGCUGAGCUCCAGGACACGGACUCUUGAAGGUUGAUUUUGACUACUUACUAAGCUCCAGCUGAACCAGUUCCACUUCUUUAACCUUCCCAUGAUCCCUGUGAGGGGUCUGUGGUAUUGCUAUUUGCAAGUAAAGAAAGUGAGAUUGAGGGAGGCUGAAAGACUUGGCCCCAAGUCACAAUGCCCUGCUGAAUGUGGUGCUGCCUCCUGGAUAUCCUGGGUGCUUCAACAUCAACAGCUCUUGGCAAGUGAGUGGGCCACGAAGGAUGGACGAGGGACAUGGGGGAGCAAGCCCAGCUGCACGGUUCCAGCUCUUUCCGCCACAUCACAGCUUCUGCAGUUGGGAAGACUGAACAGUGAUCUUCAGUUUGUUCGUCAAAGGGCCAAGAAAUCUGUGUCCUCACCUUCUCUGCUUCAAUUCUGGUGCUGCUUAAGCCGAUUAUCAUUUCAUGCCCUAAACCAAAAAAUAAACUCUACAAACAUCAACAUUACAUAGGACAGGAUCUGGCCCACAGAUUGGGGGCAGGAGCUGCUUUUUCAAUGAGAAGAAUGAACAGACCUAGUGGGCGUUGCCUUUAGACCCAGGUAAGAGGAAUCCCAGCCUUGGGACAUUACUUUCAAGGGCCAAGCCCAUAGGCCAUCCUUCUAGAACAUUCUUUGGGUAGCUAGGGCUUCAUAAGUCACUUACUGGGUUUGUCCUCCUUGAGUGGACUGUGUUGUCGGUGUGCACACCUGUAUUUCCAUGGAAUGGUAUCUUAGUCCUGCUGCUAUAACAAUACCUGAGACUGAAAAAUGUAUAAACAAUAGACAUUUAUUUCUCACAGUUCUGGAGGCUGGGAAAUCCAAGAUCAAGGCACCAGCUGGUUUGGUGUCUGGCGAGGGCUGCUCUCUGCUUCCAAAAUGGUGCCUUGGGGCUGGGCGUGAUGGCUCAUACCUAUAAUCCCAGCACUUUGGGAGGCCAAGGCGGGCAGAUCACCUGAGGUCAGGAGGUUAAGACCAGCCUGGCCAACAUGGUGAAAACCCCAUCCCUACUAAAAAUACAAAAAAUUAGCCAGGCAUGGUGAUGCAUGCCUGUAAUUCCAGCUACUUGGGAGGCUGAGGCAAGAGAAUUGCUUGAACCCAGGAGGCAGAAUUUGCAGUGAGCCGAGAUUGCACCACUGCACUCCAGCCUGAGUGAUAGAGCGAGACUCUGUCUCAAAAGACAAACAAAAAACCAAAAUGGUGCCUCAUUGCUGGAUCUUCCAAAAGGGAUGAACGUAUGUUCUCGAAUGACAGAAAAGACAGAAGGGCAGAAAGUGUCCAAACUCACUCCAUCAAUCCCUUUUAUAAGGUGCUAAUCACUCCCUAAACACCCCAUCUCUUAUUACUGUUGCACUGGGGAUUCAGUUUCAGCAUGAGUUUUGGAGGGAUACAGACAUUCAAACCACAGCAUUGUGCACACUCCUUUUUCUAUGGAAUGGCCAAGGUGCAGCUAUUUGCAGAGGCUCUGACAGAGCUCCGCUGUGGAGCUGGGGUGUCCACAUGCCUGUAUGGAAGAACUUUCAUGGCACCGGAGCCUGGUGGGAAGAGAAGUGGGCUGGGCUAUAGACUGGGCACCAGGGACUAUCACCUCGUGCCACCACAUUUAGUGUAGAGUUCCAGAGAGGCCACAAAUUCUUCAUUUGAACUGGACUCCCCAGCCUCAUGUUCCUCUGCAGGAUGUAAAAGGUAAUGCCAGCAGACGUUGGCAGUGCUGGAGACACCUGGUGGGCAGAGGUUACCUGGCUGGAGUGGCAGGUGUGAGGAGAUGCCUCCCAGCAUAAGGAAUGUGGGCUUCUGUUGGAUCUCUUGUUCCAGGCCUCACACAUGUUCAAGGCAGCCUGGGUAUGUCUUGGCCCAUUCAAUCCCUCAAAGCCCUGUUUAAUUCUCAUCUUGCUGUCACCUAUGUGGUGCCAAGAAACAAGUCACCAAAAUAAUGAAAUGCCUACCUAAGCUUAAAAACAAAACCAUGAGGUCUUUCUAAAUAAAUUAUGAAAAAGUGCAAACUGCAGGUCCCUGUAAUGAUUUCAAAGACUCCGUUCCAACAAUGCAUUAAUUUAAAAAGGGAGUAUAAGGCAAAGGGGGGUGAUUAGAAGAGGAAGGCAGCUGACAUCAAACUGAAUAUACCAAGUUUCCUCCUCAAAAACGAGUGUGCAUUAUUUGUGGUGACCAUUCUUGGUAUUGUUCUAUUACGUAAAACACAGCAUAGCAUCAUUCUUUUAGAUGCCAUUCAUUUAAUAUAUGGGCAAAUGUACAUGGUUAGGCUAGACUGGAGCACUUGUCUACACUGCUU
rnacentral:lncRNA from 10 species